CACGUAGGGGGCGAGCGUUGUCCGGAUUCAUUGGGCGUAAAGCGCGCGCAGGCGGCUUGGAAAGUCGGGUGUGAAAACUCGGGGCUCAACCCCGGGCGUGCAUCCGAUACUGCCAGGCUUGAGGCAGGUAGGGGAGAUCGGAAUUCCUGGUGUAGCGGUGAAAUGCGCAGAUAUCAGGAGGAACACCGGUGGCGAAGGCGGCCACUCGU
rnacentral:rRNA from 1 species